rnacentral:lncRNA from 1 species
UUUGGCAGUGCUCUUUGGAGUUGAAACCUGUGACGUUAAAAAGAAAAGAAAAAAUCAUGUGCUGAGCAAAGGCUGUAGCUGAAGCCUCCUCCAGUACACUGCUGUAAUGAAAAUUGGCAGCUUUUGAGAAAAACAGUAACCAUUUUGAGGAGAGCACCUGCUACAUGGACCAUAAACAGCACAAGAACCUCUCCAGCCCAAAUAUGAUGCCAUUCUUCAAAUGUAUUAGAGAAAACCCUGUUAGAUUGUCAGAGGUCAGUCAGUCUAAGCACAGGAGAUGGGCUGAACAUUCUGUCCCAAAUGUCUUAUCAUCCAUAAUGGUGCUCACAAUGAUCAGAAGUUUGCAGAUUAAGGGCAAUGAUGUCCCAAGGUCAUUAUCGUUUCUCUCUGGACUUUUCAGCAAGAAGUUAGGGCACUAGGUGACCUAACAGAAUUAACAUCAAAGACUAUUAGGUUUUCACUCAGUUUUUUGAUUUCUUUUUAUAGAAUGUUCCAUUCAGCAGUAGUUAAAACAACUUCAAACUGAUUUGCCUUGAAGGAUGAAUGAAGUGUGACUUUAUUGCCACAAGCAUAGUAUUUUAACUAUACCAGUUCAAUGUUGAAGUUUGAAGGCGCAAUCUUAGGUUCCUUUUUAUUGCAGCAAUGGGACAUUUGCUCAGAAUCUGAUAGCAAUUCUCCUUUGGGAAUUUCUCUGAGACAGUCA